rnacentral:tRNA from 1 species
UACUCUUUUAGUAUAACCAGUACAGUUGACUUCCAAUCAAUCAGUUUUGAUAACAUUCAAAAAAGAGUAA